CUAGUGACGUUAAUGUGUGUUGUAUCAGGUGGAUCCAGACACUGGUCUCAUCAACUACGACUAGUGACGUUAAUCUGUGUUGUAUCAGGUGGAUCCUAGUGACGUUAAUCUGUGUUGUAUCAGGUGGAUCCAGACACUGGUCUCAUCAACUACGACUAGUGACGUUAAUCUGUGUUGUAUCAGGUGGAUCCUAGUGACGUUAAUCUGUGUUGUAUCAGGUGAAUCCUAGUGACGUUAAUCUGUGUUGUAUCAGGUGGAUCCAGACACUGGUCUCAUCAACUACGACUAGUGACGUUAAUCUGUGUUGUAUCAGGUGGAUCCAGACACUGGUCUCAUCAACUACGACUAGUGACGUUAAUCUGUGUUGUUUGUAUCAGGUGGAUCCUAGUGACGUUAAUCUGUGUUGUAUCAGGUGGAUCCUAGUGACGUUAAUCUGUGUUGUAUCAAGUGUAUCCUAGUGACGUUAAUCUGUGUUGUAUCAGGUGGAUCCUAGUGACGUUAAUCUGUGUUGUAUCAGGUGGAUCCUAGUGACGUUAAUCUGUGUUGUAUCAGGUGGAUCCAGACACUGGUCUCAUCAACUACGACUAGUGACGUUAAUCUGUGUUGUAUCAGGUGGAUCCUAGUGACGUUAAUCUGUGUUGUAUCAGGUGAAUCCUAGUGACGUUAAUCUGUGUUUUAUCAGGUGAAUCCAGACACUGGUCUCAUCAACUACGACUAGUGACGUUAAUCUGUGUUGUAUCAGGUGGAUCCAGACACUGGUCUCAUCAACUACGACUAGUGACGUUAAUCUGUGUUGUAUCAGGUGGAUCCUAGUGACGUUAAUCUGUGUUGUAUCAGGUGAAUCCUAGUGACGUUAAUCUGUGUUGUAUCAGGUGGAUCCAGACACUGGUCUCAUCAACUACGACUAGUGACGUUAAUCUGUGUUGUAUCAGGUGGAUCCAGACACUGGUCUCAUCAACUACGACUAGUGACGUUAAUCUGUGUUGUAUCAGGUGGAUCCUAGUGACGUUAAUCUGUGUUGUAUCAGGUGGAUCCAGACACUGGUCUCAUCAACUACGACUAGUGACGUUAAUCUGUGUUGUAUCAGGUGGAUCCUAGUGACGUUAAUCUGUGUUGUAUCAGGUGAAUCCUAGUGACGUUAAUCUGUGUUGUAUCAGGUGGAUCCAGACACUGGUCUCAUCAACUACGACUAGUGACGUUAAUCUGUGUUGUAUCAGGUGGAUCCAGACACUGGUCUCAUCAACUACGACUAGUGACGUUAAUCUGUGUUGUUUGUAUCAGGUGGAUCCUAGUGACGUUAAUCUGUGUUGUUUGUAUCAGGUGGAUCCUAGUGACGUUAAUCUGUGUUGUAUCAAGUGUAUCCUAGUGACGUUAAUCUGUGUUGUAUCAGGUGGAUCCUAGUGACGUUAAUCUGUGUUGUAUCAGGUGGAUCCUAGUGACGUUAAUCUGUGUUGUAUCAGGUGGAUCCAGACACUGGUCUCAUCAACUACGACUAGUGACGUUAAUCUGUGUUGUAUCAGGUGGAUCCUAGUGACGUUAAUCUGUGUUGUAUCAGGUGAAUCCUAGUGACGUUAAUCUGUGUUUUAUCAGGUGAAUCCAGACACUGGUCUCAUCAACUACGACUAGUGACGUUAAUCUGUGUUGUAUCAGGUGGAUCCAGACACUGGUCUCAUCAACUACGACUAGUGACGUUAAUCUGUGUUGUAUCAGGUGGAUCCUAGUGACGUUAAUCUGUGUUGUAUCAGGUGAAUCCUAGUGACGUUAAUCUGUGUUGUAUCAGGUGGAUCCAGACACUGGUCUCAUCAACUACGACUAGUGACGUUAAUCUGUGUUGUAUCAGGUGGAUCCUAGUGACGUUAAUCUGUGUUGUAUCAGGUGGAUCCUAGUGACGUUAAUCUGUGUUG